GCCUCUGUAGUUCAAUGGAUAGAACGGCCCCCUCCUAAGGGGCAAAUAGAAGUUCGAUUCUUCUCGGAGGCA
rnacentral:tRNA from 1 species